AUUGAACGCUGGCGGCAUGCCUUACACAUGCAAGUCGAACGGCAGCGGACCUUCGGGUGCCGGCGAGUGGCGAACGGGUGAGUAAUAUAUCGGAACGUACCUUUCAGUGGGGGAUAACGUAGCGAAAGUUACGCUAAUACCGCAUAUUCUGUGAGCAGGAAAGCAGGGGAUCGCAAGACCUUGCGCUGAUUGAGCGGCCGAUAUCAGAUUAGCUAGUUGGUGAGGUAAAGGCUCACCAAGGCGACGAUCUGUAGCGGGUCUGAGAGGAUGAUCCGCCACACUGGAACUGGAGACGACGGUCCAGA
rnacentral:rRNA from 1 species